UAUGCUUUCAUGUUUUAUGCUAACACUGACUGCUUCUAUAGAACUGUUCAUAAUUCCCCCCCACCUGGCCUGGGCCCAAGUCGCAGGAAAAAAAACAGCAGCCAGUAGUGCUUCACUGUAGGUCACAUCGGCCAGUCGUAUGCUCAUACACCACAGCUGCAGCGGAGAAAGCCGCGCCAAGAUUUAACGACCACGCCUACGUGAAUCCUAACGGGAAACAUCACACUUACGAAGCAGGUUUGUACUUCUGAAGGUGUUCAAUUCAAUACUAAUCCAAAUUAGGAAUGCGAGGCCUUGGCACAGGUUUCCAGUCUUGUGCCCCUCCCCCCCCUCCCCCCGAAGUAAUCCUUUCAACACUCUUAUCUUCGGAACAAAUGUGAGCCCUUUUAAUGUCAAACAACUUGAAAUGAAUGACAUUUUCUUUGAACCUAUUUAUAUUGAACUACUUCAUCUUACUUUUGUCUAAAUCUAGAUUAGUGAGCACCUCUCUUUAGCCGAGAUAGUCUAAUAUCUAGCACUUAAAUAGACAGCACGUUUUAGUGCACACUUUCACCCAAAAUGUCAGCUGGGAUAGGCU